rnacentral:rRNA from 1 species
GACGAAGGAUCCAAGCGUUAUCCGGAUUCAUUGGGUUUAAAGGGUGCGUAGGCGGGUUUGUAAGUCAGUGGUGAAAUCCUAUCGCUUAACGAUGGAACUGCCAUUGAUACUGCAGGCCUAGAGUACAGAUGAUGUUGGCGGAAUAUGACAUGUAGCGGUGAAAUGCAUAGAUAUGUCAUAGAACACCGAUUGCGAAGGCAGCUGACAAAACUGUAACUGACGCUGAUGCACGAAAGUGCGGGGAUCAAACAGG